rnacentral:rRNA from 1 species
ACAGGAUUAGAUACCCUGGUAGUCCACGUUUUACCCGUACACAACUAGUCGUCGGGGAGCUCGUCUCUUCGGUGAUGCACUUAACAGAUUAAGCAUUCCGCCCGGGGAGUACGGUCGCAAGAUUAAAACUCAAAGGAAUAGACGGGGACCCGCACAAGUGGUGGAGCAUGUGGUUGAAUUCGAAGAUACGCGAAGAACCUUACCUAGCCUUGACAUUGAUUGAAUGCUUUAGAGAUAGAGUAGUGCCUUUCGGGGAACAUGAAAACAGGUGCUGCACGGCUGUCGUCAGCUCGUGUCGUGAGAUGUUGGGUUAAGUCCCGCAACGAGCGCAACCCUCGUCGUUAGUUGCUAACAGGUUAAGCUGAGCACUCUAGCGAGACUGCCUUCGCAAGGAGGAGGAAGGUGAGGACGACGUCAAGUCAUCAUGGCCCUUAUGGCUAGGGCUACACACGUGCUACAAUGGGGCGUACAGAGAGUUGCGAUACCGCGAGGUGGAGCCAAUCUCAUAAAGCGUCUCUCAGUUCGGAUUGUUCUCUGCAACUCGAGAACAUGAAGCUGGAAUCACUAGUAAUCGUAGAUCAGCAAUGCUACGGUGAAUACGUUCCCGGGUCUUGUACU